rnacentral:rRNA from 1 species
ACUCAAAGGAAUUGACGGGGGCCCGCACAAGCAGCGGAGCGUGUUGCUUAAUUCGAUGCAACGCGAAGAACCUUACCUGGGUUUGACAUGCUAGGAAAAGCUACAGAGAUGUGGUGUCCUUCGGGGCUUAGCACAGGUGGUGCAUGGCUGUCGUCAGCUCGUGUCGUGAGAUGUUGGGUUAAGUCCCGCAACGAGCGCAACCCUUAUUCUAUGUUGCCAGCACGUGAUGGUGGGGACUCGUAGGAGACUGCCGGGGUCAACUCGGAGGAAGGUGGGGACGACGUCAAGUCAUCAUGCCCCUUAUAUCCAGGGCUGCAAACACGCUACAAUGGCCGGUACAGAGGGCUGCGAGCCUGUGAGGGUGAGCGAAUCCCAUAAAGCCGGUCUCAGUUCGGAUUGUAGGCUGCAACUCGCCUGCAUGAAGCUGGAGUUGCUAGUAAUCCCGGAUCAGCACGCCGGGGUGAAUACGUUCCCGGGCCUUGCACACACCGCCCGU